UGNUUUAUCUCCCCCCAAAACCAAAAUCUGCCCUAACCCUCUUCGAUCUAGCAUAGCCGCCGCACUCCAUUUCGCAUCAGCCACUCACCGACGGGGUUGAUCGGCGACGGGGUUGAUCUCGAGGGUGCUCGUAUUCGGCAUGCGACGGGGUUGAUCGCCAGCCCUCUUCGAUCCCUCUCAGCAACCUUCAUUAUCUUUCGCAGCCCUUUUCGAUCCCUCUUACAUGCGACGGGGUUGAUCUCGAGGGUGCUGGAGGCGUUCGCAGGGGCGAGCGAUCGCGGGAAGCGGCGGGAAGCGAUUCGUGAACCAGAUCUGGGCCUCUCGAAAUCCUCCUCCGAUCGCGGUUUCCGCUGCUGCGUCGGAUUCAAGAGCCCUCUUCGAUCUCACAUGCGACGAGAUCGGCCGGCGGUCCUUCACGCACGGUUGCUGCUAAGAGUGAAGUGAUUAAUUGGGUUCGCAACCUUCUUCACGCACCCUCUUCACGCACGAUUUCUUAGAAAUCCAAGCAUUCAAGCCUCUUCUCUGUAUUCACCUACCACUAAAUAUUGGAGAAGUGAUAGUACGGUCUUUAAGCAUGGCCGCCGCACUCUAUUUCGCAUCAGCCACUCACCGACGGGGCUGAUCGGCAGUCCUUCGCAGCCCUCUUCGAUCCCUCUCACAUGCGACAGGGCUGAUCUCGAGGGUGCUGGAGCCGUUCGCAGGGGCGAGCGAUCGAGGGAAGCUUCGGGAAGCGAUUCGUGAACCAGAUCUGGGCCUCUAAAUCCUCCUCUGAUCGCGGUUUCCGCUGCUGCGUCGGAUUCAAGGUUGUAGAUCAUGGUAGUGCAAAUUGUUCUUCUCCUAACAUUCGGUCAUCAAAUUCAAGUCAUGAGCCACAAACCUUUCUUCAUGGGCGAACCGUUUGAGUGCAACCACCGAAAGACAAGAAUCAUAUUUUGUUUACUUUAGAACUCAAUGAAUUAAAAGACGAGUCACAUUUUGUUUAGUAAAGUACUCGUGAAUUUUUUUUUUAUUGUUUUUUGUUGAAGUUUAGACUAUGAUAUGCGUUUUGUUGCAUCACAAGUGAUUAGCUACUAUGUAUGCUCGGGAUAGUGUUUUGUGUUUUGAUGUGUUACAAAAUGAUUAGCUACUCUGUGAUGGAUAUAUAGCUUUAUAUCUAUAACCUCUAUUAAUCCCCAUAACUUAAAAGCUGACGUGGCAAAGCCACCUUUUUUUUUAAUUUUUUAAUUUUUUUUUAAUUUUUAUGUACUCUCAAUUUCUCAUUUUCUCUCUUGAUCCUUCACCUCCCCUCGACACCUCCCCAACCGGACGUCGCCUCAACUUCCGCUCCCCCUUCCCAACCUGGCGUAACGUCCCCUCGACUACCGCUCCCCCCUCCCAACCUAGCGUUUCCUUAUCUCCACCACGUCUCUUCCCCCCACCUGUGUCCUCUUUACCAUGGUCCUUCUUCUCCCUUCCCUUUCCUCCCUCCCAGAUCUUUUGCCGGCGCGCGCCCUUCUCGCCCCCCUUCCUCACCUCCCUCCGCCACCACCCCCUCUGCCCUUCACCGCUUCGCUUCCCUCUCCUCUCCUCCUUCUGGCUUUGCCACGCCGACUUUUUCUAUCGCGUCGGCUGCGAGAUCUAUGAAAUCACCCUGGAUCGUGUCCCAAUCGGAGGGAUUGAGGGGGGAAAGUGUAUAGGGGCUUGCUUCAUGAGCCUUAGAUCUACGAGGUAAGAGAGUUGGAUGCGACGUUGAAGGGCGUGGAAAUAGGCCGCGAUAUUCCUGGAGAAUUGGUUAGUCUCUUUUUGUUGUUUGAGCAUUGUCUACAGAAGAGUAAUUGGUCAUGUUGUAUAUUCAUUUUAAGUUGUUCAUUUAACUCAUAAUUUUAAGGAAGACAUCAAUAUUUUUCUUCUCAUGGAUGAAUAUUUUCGUUUUAGAUUCAAUCUCAACCAGUGUUGAAUGAAAAUUUUGCACCUGUAAUACCCUGGAUCGUGUCCCAAUCGGAGGGAUUGAGGGGGGGAGGUGUAUAGGGGCUUGCUUCAUGAGCCUCAGAUCUACGAGGUAAGAGAGUUAGAUGUCACGUUGAAGGGCGUGGAAAUAGGCCGCGAUAUCCCUGGAGAAUUGGUUAGUCUCUUUUUGUUGUUUGAGCAUUGUCUAUAGAAGAGUAAUUGGUCAUGUUGUAUAUUCAUUUUAAGUUGUUCACUUAACUCAUAAUUUGAAGGAAGACAUUGAUAUUUUUCUUCUCCUGGAUGAAUAUUUUCGUUUUAGAUUCAAUCUCAACCAGUGUUGAAUGAAAAUUUUGCACAUGUAAUACCCAAAACAUAUGAGAAGAAUCCAAUGUUUCAGAAAAAUUUUAAAAAUAAAAAAUAAUUGUCCCAGUUGUCCGAUUUAAUUUUGUGAGAACUUUUUAAAGUUAGUAGUUUGAACAGCAAGAACUGUAAUAACUCACACUUUAUUCUAUCCAAUAGAAACAUUAUAAAUAUUCAACCAAAAGCAGAUUACAUUAUUAAACAUAAUAGAAUAGAUAUCAUAUAUUAUGCUGUCAAACUGAUAGAAUAGAAGCCGAGCUCUUUGACUUAUUAUCACAAACAAGCCAUCACAAAAACAUACUUUUAUCUUUGUAUAUGCUUUCUCUUGAAAAAUGGCAAUAUACAAACAGUAUGUGCAGGUUUCUCCACUCAAGUUUCUUCUGCUACUGCUCUCCAACUAUUAUCUUGCACCCAGUGUGAGAAAAAUUAUUGUGUCAGAUUUUUAUUUUGCCGUUCAUUUCGUCAAUUAUUAUUUAAUAUGUAAAAUAUUUAGAAUAACAAAAUUUUUCUUAACUACUUAAUCUUUGUAGACCACCAAGGUUGUAUGCCUGAGGUUGAUUAUUUCUCUGUCCAUCCCAAUAAUGGAAGCAUUUCAUUUGUGGGCAAAGUUGCAAAAUGGAAUUCUCUGGAGUAUCUAAUCAGGCUAUCUCAACGGGUUGAAUCCACAGUUAUGAGGAAGUGCUUUCAAUCUAUCACUAACCCAAGAAGUGGCAUUAACUUGAUUCAUAAUGUUGUAUACAAAUGUGGGGUUAGCUUUGACUAACCUUUUCCUUUUAGAAAACAUGUUUACCAAUGUGUUAGUAGGAAGUGCUCAGUUUAUGGAAUAGUGCUUUUGGAUAUUUAAUAAGCAUUUAUAAAUCGUACUUUUUUAAUUGUAGAUCUAAUAUCCAUUUGCUAAAACACUCUGGUUUAUUAAGAUUUUCUUUGUUUUUUCC